rnacentral:rRNA from 1 species
AUUGAACGCUGGCGGCAUGCUUUACACAUGCAAGUCGAACGGUAACAGGCCGCAAGGUGCUGACGAGUGGCGAACGGGUGAGUAAUGCAUCGGAACGUGCCCAGUCGUGGGGGAUAACUGCUCGAAAGAGCAGCUAAUACCGCAUACGAUCCAUGGAGGAAAGCGGGGGACCGUAAGGACUCGCGCGAUUGGAGCGGCCGAUGUCAGAUUAGGUAGUUGGUGGGGUAAAGGCUCACCAAGCCAACGAUCUGUAGCUGGUCUGGGAGGACGACCAGCCACACUGGGACUGAGACACGGCCCAGACUCCUACGGGAGGCAGCAGUGGGGAAUUUUGGACAAUGGGGGCAACACUGAUCCAGCAAUGCCGCGUGCAGGAAGAAGGCCUUCGGGUUGUAAACUGCUUUUGUACGGAACGAAACGGUCUGGAUUAAUACCCUGGGCUAAUGACGGUACCGUAAGAAUAAGCACCGGCUAACUACGUGCCAGCCGCCGCCGUAAAAC